rnacentral:rRNA from 1 species
AUGAACGCUGGCGGCGUGCCUAAUACAUGCAAGUCGAACGAGUUCUCGUUGAUGAUCGGUGCUUGCACCGAGAUUCAACAUGGAACGAGUGGCGGACGGGUGAGUAACACGUGGGUAACCUGCCCUUAAGUGGGGGAUAACAUUUGGAAACAGAUGCUAAUACCGCAUAGAUCCAAGAACCGCAUGGUUCUUGGCUGAAAGAUGGCGUAAGCUAUCGCUUUUGGAUGGACCCGCGGCGUAUUAGCUAGUUGGUGAGGUAAUGGCUCACCAAGGCGAUGAUACGUAGCCGAACUGAGAGGUUGAUCGGCCACAUUGGGACUGAGACACGGCCCAAACUCCUACGGGAGGCAGCAGUAGGGAAUCUUCCACAAUGGACGCAAGUCUGAUGGAGCAACGCCGCGUGAGUGAAGAAGGCUUUCGGGUCGUAAAACUCUGUUGUUGGAGAAGAAUGGUCGGCAGAGUAACUGUUGUCGGCGUGACGGUAUCCAACCAGAAAGCCACGGCUAACUACGUGCCAGCAGCCGCGGUAAUACGUAGGUGGCAAGCGUUAUCCGGAUUUAUUGGGCGUAAAGCGAGCGCAGGCGGUUUUUUAAGUCUGAUGUGAAAGCCCUCGGCUUAACCGAGGAAGCGCAUCGGAAACUGGGAAACUUGAGUGCAGAAGAGGACAGUGGAACUCCAUGUGUAGCGGUGAAAUGCGUAGAUAUAUGGAAGAACACCAGUGGCGAAGGCGGCUGUCUGGUCUGUAACUGACGCUGAGGCUCGAAAGCAUGGGUAGCGAACAGGAUUAGAUACCCUGGUAGUCCAUGCCGUAAACGAUGAAUGCUAGGUGUUGGAGGGUUUCCGCCCUUCAGUGCCGCAGCUAACGCAAUAAGCAUUCCGCCUGGGGAGUACGACCGCAAGGUUGAAACUCAAAGGAAUUGACGGGGGCCCGCACAAGCAGUGGAGUAUGUGGUUUAAUUCGACGCAACGCGAAGAACCUUACCAGGUCUUGACAUCUUUUGAUCACCUGAGAGAUCAGGUUUCCCCUUCGGGGGCAAAAUGACAGGUGGUGCAUGGUUGUCGUCAGCUCGUGUCGUGAGAUGUUGGGUUAAGUCCCGCAACGAGCGCAACCCCUAUUGUUAGUUGCCAUCAUUCAGUUGGGCACUCUAGCGAGACUGCCGGUAAUAAACCGGAGGAAGGUGGGGAUGACGUCAAAUCAUCAUGCCCCUUAUGACCUGGGCUACACACGUGCUACAAUGGAUGGUACAACGAGUUGCGAGACCGCGAGGUCAAGCUAAUCUCUUAAAGCCAUUCUCAGUUCGGACUGUAGGCUGCAACUCGCCUACACGAAGUCGGAAUCGCUAGUAAUCGCGGAUCAGCACGCCGCGGUGAAUACGUUCCCGGGCCUUGUACACACCGCCCGUCACACCAUGAGAGUUUGUAACACCCGAAGCCGGUGGCGUAACCCUUUUAGGGAGCGAGCCGUCUAAGGUGGGACAAAUGAUUAGGGUG